GAAGAAAUGAGCAGCUUCGUCUCUCCCAGUGUUUCCUCGACGCAUGAAGGUGGAAAGAGUCUGUAAAUAAACCUGGAGAGAGUUCAGAAGGUGGGAAAUCACUGCAGAAGAAUGUGAUUGGCUGACUACCACCUGUUGGACAAGUUUUGACGUCACUGAUGUGUUUUUUUAAGACUUGAACUGAAGUUAUAAAGGUGUGACAGCAUCCUCAGAUCAGUUGCACGCAGACACCCGGACAGACGAGAAAGAAAUGAGCAGCUUCGUCUCUCCCAGUGUUUCCUCGACACAUGAAGGUGGAAAGAGUCCGUAAAUCAACCUGAAGUGAGUUCAGCAGUUUGAUGUUUAAUUUGACUUGAGGCUCUGUCACAUCCAGUUAUUGGACCAGCCUCCCUGACUGAGUGGCAAGAUCCUCUUUAUUUCAGAGGUACAAUGCAUUUCAUUCUUUUGACCUGUAAAGGUUUCAUUGUCAUGAAUAAUUUG